AGCAGCAGGGCUUAGUGGUUAGAGCACGGACUUGUGAGUCAGAAGGACCUGGGUUCUAUUCCCAGCUCUGCCA
rnacentral:tRNA from 1 species